GGGGCGUUGCUGGCUUUUAUUCAUCCAUUCAUAGCUUAUCAGCAGGCUGCUGAAGUUGAACACGUUGUAUAGCCCGUAAGAACUUAAGAAGCCAAUGACGACAGACCAGCCUGCUGGCCGUACGUAGGAUUAGCUUGAGCAGCAACCAUCGUUGCAGCAAGUUGGGUCCAUUGUACACUCCCUUUUUGCAGAGCAGCACAUGCAGUAGAUUUGAUCGGCGGCGGCGAGUACUGCAAAUGAACGAAAAAAAAAACACCGGGUAAAAAGAAAAUUACUAAUUGAAACGAUGCAUAUAUAUCUUCCUAUCUGGUAAUUAACAGAAAAAAAAAUUAUAGAGAGUGGAAGAAGAGACUGGGUGCAUGACUCCAUGUAAAGAUUCACGUACGGUUCGGGCGGAGGGCCGUCAUGAAGAUCACCGCGACCAUGACCCAGAUGAAGAGUGCAAGGAUUGUCUUCCUAUUGCCACCCAUGUCGUCUCUCGAUCGUAAUGGCACACACUAUGGUCUUGCCUACAAUAGCUUCUGAUAUCUGCACUGGUCUUCCUCUCG
rnacentral:lncRNA from 1 species